rnacentral:rRNA from 1 species
CCUACUAUGCCCAGCCAUAACAUAACAAUUAAACUACCAAUUGUUCGCCAAAUAACUACGAGUAAAGACUUAAAAUUUAAAAGACUUGACGGUACCUCACAACACCUUAGAGGAGCCUGUCAAAUAACCGAUACUCCACGAUUAACCCAACCCCCCCUAGCCAAAUCAGUCUAUAUACCGCCGUCGCCAGCUCACCUUAUGAAAGAAAACAAAGUGAGCCAAAUAGUCCCACACUAACACGACAGGUCGAGGUGUAACUUAUGGGUGGGCCCAAGAUGGGCUACAUUUUCUAAUACAGAAAACACGAAUAGACCCUGAAACAAGAAACUGAAGGCGGAUUUAAUAGUAUACUAGAAUAAAUAUCCCUAGUCGAAAUCAACGCAAUGAGGUGCGUACACACCGCCCGUCAUCCCUGUCAUUACAACUAUAAAUUCCAUAAACACACAAAUAACCUACAACA